rnacentral:lncRNA from 1 species
AAUUCAUCAACUUGCAUUAUUAAUUUAAUUAUCCAAUCUAAGUUUUGUUUCAAUCCAAUUAUCCAACCUAAUUUUUGUUAAAUAUAAAAAAUACUUAAAUAUCGUUCUCUACUAGUUUAAAUUUUUACAGCAUAAUAAUUAUUUCACAUGGUAUCAGAAUAGAAUGUUUUGAGUUCAAAUCAAUACCAAACUCCUAGUAUUAUUAACUUUCUUUUACAAAAAUUUUAUGAAUGAUGAAGAUUAUAUAUAUAUAUUUAAA